GUCUUUAUAGUUUAAUAAAAACGUUAGUCUUGUAAACUAAAAUUGCCUUUUCUAAAGACU
rnacentral:tRNA from 1 species